ensembl:lincRNA
AUGCAGAUCGGCGGAGACAAUGUUAUCACUCCACCGAGAGCAGGGAAACCUCCACUCCCGGGCCCGGCCGGACCGCGCGCAAGAGGCGCCCACAGUUUUCUAGGGUAUGUGAAAGCAGCAGAGCUCCCCAGUCGAGGGCGGCGGUCCAUCGUCCCAGGCCACUCCCGUUCCUACAAAGGAAGCCAGAGGUCCAUCUGCUUCCUGGAGCCCAUUCACGGCCCCCAGGGCCCCACGCCGAAGCCCCAGGGAUCCCCAAGGAGGGUGUUGAUCACUGUCCUAGGAAACACUGCGCUUCCACCCUGUCCUCUCAUCUCGCAGCCCUUAAGAACCAGCCGCUGCCUCACCUGUCCUAACAAAUCAGUGCCACAGAGCGAGAAGUCACCGAGAAGCCCGAGGCAAACCCGGAAACGCUCCACCUUCCUUCCACACAGUCCUGGAAAGACUCAACCUAGUCCUGUUCAGCCACAAGUCAACAUUUCUACUCGGUAGCGGCCAAGUCUGAAACCACUGUGACGACUCUUGCGGAGCUCUUCCUUGGUUCUUAUGUUGCUACCCGAGUCCACAAUAACAAUUACGCAUAAUUAUAGGUGGUGUUUCUGUUUUCACACCUGGAAGAAGGUGCACUGUUUUAGAGUGGAUUUUCUCAAAAACAAAUUUCAAAUGAAAGUUGAGCUUCAGUAACAGCUAGAAGGAGAACGCCUCUGACAAUGCACAGACCUAGGUUCAGAUCCUCAUCCAACCAUGUCUUAGACUCCGCAUGAGCUCUCUCCAGCCUCAGCUUUACCAGCUAAGAAGUGAAGCUGAUGAGAUCCAUCUCAUAAAUUAUGAGGAUUAAAUAAAAUGACAUACUGGGCCGGGGAUUUAGCUCAGCGGCUUGGUGGCCUGCCUUGCAAGCGCAAAGACCCGAGUUCAAUCGCCAGUACCAAACAAAUAAGUAAAAUAAAAUGACAUAUUAAAUCUGUAUAUACUGCUGGGCUGCCAGGAACAGUGAGUAGUAUACACCUGUAAUCCCAGCACUCUGUGUGGCUAAGGCAAGAGGACAGAAAACUUCAGCCCAGCCUGGAGCAACUUGGUGACUUAGCAAGACACUGUCUCAAAAUACAAAAUAGGAAAGGGGCAUAGGGAUGGGUAUGUAGUUCAGUGCAAAGGCCCUGAGUUCAAUUCCUACUACUACAAACAAAUAAAUGACAGUACAUCCUGCCACACUGGGAGUAUGGAACACAGCAGAGUCCAGUUGCUAUACAUUGGUAAAGGGUAGCAAAGCACAGGGCAGGAAUUGAUGGUGAUAUGGGAGGCGGGCAGGGAGAGAAGUUACUAGGGGAGAGGCUCAGAGAAAUUACUAGGAAGGUAAUAGGAACACUCAGGACAUGGGCCAGGAUGAGAACUGAAAAACAGGGGAUCGUGAUUCUCAGGCCAUUAUUUAAUUCAUACUAAUUCUGUUCCACAUACGGUUUAGCAAAUACUUUCCAUGGGGAAAAUACUGAAACCUUACAGAAUUAUACAGUUGAGUAAAAGAAAGACAGACUAGAGGUCAGAAUAAGAUAACUAGUCCAAUCAACUGUAUUUUAAAUCUUUAAAUAGUAAGUGUCAGCAACAUCAAACUAUCUAUGCACCAUUUUAUUUACAUCAAUUACUUUCCUUAUUUGUUAAUAAAGGUUUAGUCACUUUUCCAAACAUGAUCUAUAGGACUCACG